rnacentral:lncRNA from 1 species
CAUGGUUAGAUAAUGUACAGUGAUAGGGAGGCCUCACACUCCAGUACAGUAGGUGGCGGUGUAUGCACUUUUCAGUUGGUUGCAAUCCUCCAAUACAAAUGUAAAGCAGAAGAAGGGCCCAAGCAAUCAAUGACAGAAGUCUGUUCAAGAACACCUGCUGUAAGGCAAAGAGGACCUGUACCCUGCUGACUAGACUGGAAGAUGGCGGGGGUCAGUGAUUAAUAUACUCCCUCAGGCAAACGGAUGUGGGGGCCAAAGUCAGAGACACUGACCCAAAUCGGGCACUCCCCCUCGUCCUGAUGAACGAACAGCAGAUGGAGUAUGAAGGACUACAUCUUCACCUUGGCGAACAGAUCCCUCUGUCUAGACCUCCAGUUCUGUUACCGUCUGAGGAUGAGGGCCUUCAACUGUUGAAUGACAUGCUGAGCGAGAACAGAUUUGCGGGGAAGAGGUCAGUUUGGACCAAGCCUAUGCAUGGUCCAUCUUCUCAGGUAUGCUAUAAGCAUUAUCACCUGUAGCGCAGCUGAUGCAGCAUAGUGGCUAUAAAUAAAUAGGCUGAUGCAUUGGGUUGCCUAUCUGCGUUUACCAUGGGCCUAAUCAUUAGCUAGAUCUGAAAUGUGAUCUUUUAACUAGUGAACAUUAAUCAAUACAUGCUUUGUCCCCCCCAAAAAUGCAGAAACACAGUGAAUAUAAUGUAGGCCUACCUGUUAGGAUAACUUGAGGUAAAACACCCCCUCCUGUUCUUCUCACAGAAACCACUUCAUGUCACCAUGCUCCUCGGAGCCAAAUGCUGAUGACGGGUAGCACUUUGCUGGGCAGAUGGCAUUGAAACCCCCUUGCUAGGCGAAAGGAGUUCCAAUGAUGGGCCUUAAGGUUAUUAUAGCUGGUAGUGGAUGGUUGUCAAACUGAAAAACGGUCAUUCAGACCAGCCUUCCUGAUUUGAACUUUUGUAAACUACAUUAUGGAUUUUGGAAAAUGACCUAUGUUUAUGAAAAUACAGUCAUUGUUUUUAAAUGCCAACCACAGCACCUUACAUGCAUUAAAUGGAUGCUUCAGAUUCUAUAUCAAUUGGUUAAUUGCAGAUCCUGUUUAUUUUUUUGAACCCAUUGUUUAACGCCACUGUCCUCUUGUGCUUUUGUUUGCCUGCCUGGUCAUGGUCAAUGUGCAUUUACCCUCAACACAUGAUUGUAUCUUGUGCGCAAUGAUCGGGUCGGUAGUGGCAGUGUUUUGAGAUAAUGUGACUGAUCUGUGUGGUAUUACAACAUACAUAUCCACAUGUAUAGGCAGGUGUACAUCGUUGGGUAUUACUAAUUUACACUGUGUAUAAAAUAUUAUGAACAUCUGCUCUUUCC